rnacentral:rRNA from 1 species
AAAACUAGCCAGUCUUUUGGGUAUGAAACCCAUUUGGGCGAGAGUAGUACUAGGAUGGCUGACCUCCUAGGAAGUCCUCGUGAAAGGGUUUC